AUUGAACGCUGGCGGCAGGCCUAACACAUGCAAGUCGAGCGAGCGGCGGACGGGUGAGAAAUGUCUGGGACACUGCCUGAUGGAGGGGGAUAACUACUGGACACGGUAGCUUAUACCGCAUUCCAUGAGAUGUCCCCAGAUGGGAUUAGCUAGUGGGUGGGGUAAGCGCUCACCUAGGCGACGCUCCCUAGCUGGUCUGAGAGGAUGAUCAGCCACACUGGAACUGAGACACGGUCCAGACUCCUACGGUAGGCAGCAGUGGGGAAUAUUGCACAAUGGGCGCAAGCCUGAUGCAGCCAUGCCGCGUGUAUGAAGAAGGCCUUCGGGUUGUAAAGCACUUUCAGCGAGGAGGCGUUACCGGCAGAAGAAGCACCGGCUAACUCCGUGCCAGCAGCCGCGGUAAUAC
rnacentral:rRNA from 1 species